GACGAACGCUGGCGGCGUGCUUAACACAUGCAAGUCGAACGGAAAGGCCCUGCUUUUGUGGGGUGCUCGAGUGGCGAACGGGUGAGUAACACGUGAGUAACCUGCCCUUGACUUUGGGAUAACUUCAGGAAACUGGGGCUAAUACCGGAUAGGAGCUCCUGCUGCAUGGUGGGGGUUGGAAAGUUUCGGCGGUGUGGGAUGGACUCGCGGCUUAUCAGCUUGUUGGUGGGGUAGUGGCUUACCAAGGCUUUGACGGGUAGCCGGCCUGAGAGGGUGACCGGCCACAUUGGGACUGAGAUACGGCCCAGACUCCUACGGGAGGCAGCAGUGGGGAAUAUUGCACAAUGGGCGGAAGCCUGAUGCAGCAACGCCGCGUGCGGGAUGACGGCCUUCGGGUUGUAAACCGCUUUCGCCUGUGACGAAGCGUGAGUGACGGUAAUGGGUAAAGAAGCACCGGCUAACUACGUG
rnacentral:rRNA from 1 species